rnacentral:rRNA from 1 species
GACGCUGGCGGCGUGCUUAACACAUGCAAGUCGAACGGUGACCAGGGCUUGCCCUGGUGAUCAGUGGCGAACGGGUGAGUAACACGUGGGCAACCUGCCCCUGACUUCGGGAUAACUCCUCGAAAGAGGAGCUAAUACCGGAUACGACCACUUCGGACAUCCGAUGGUGGUGGAAAGUUUUUCGGUCAGGGAUGGGCCCGCGGCCUAUCAGCUAGUUGGUGGGGUAAUGGCCUACCAAGGCGACGACGGGUAGCCGGCCUGAGAGGGCGACCGGCCACACUGGGACUGAGACACGGCCCAGACUCCUACGGGAGGCAGCAGUGGGGAAUAUUGCGCAAUGGGCGAAAGCCUGACGCAGCGACGCCGCGUGAGGGAUGAAGGCCUUCGAGUUGUAAACCUCUUUCAGCAGGGACGAAGCGAAAGUGACGGUACCUGCAGAAGAAGCACCGGCUAACUACGUG